GGCGGCUUAGCUCAGUCGGCAGAGCAACGGAAUCAUAAUCCGCAGGUCGUUGGUUCGAAUCCGACAGCCGCUA
rnacentral:tRNA from 1 species